AAGAAGCAGCUGGACAACAGGUCGACUACAGCUGGACGAUGGAGAGAAGCAGGUUGACUUCAGAGGGACAGUUUAACGGCAUAACUUCGGAGAAGAAUCCAGCCAGAAACAGCCGAACUUCAGGGGGGAAACAAGAAGAAUCCUAGAUGUCUCAAUGAGAUGAAGAAUUGCCUACUGUUUAUCACCCUGACCCAGUCUUUCUCCCCAAGACAAGGUCUGGAAACUAAAAGUCCAUGAUCAAGGCAUCAGCAGAUCAACGUCUGGUAAGAGUCAGCUUCCUGAUGAGCAGAUGCCUCCCUGACUUAAUCUCACUUGUUGGAGAGCAAGAAAAGAGGAUGUUUUCCUGUCACUUCCUAUAAGGGUGCUAAUCACAGUCAUGUGAGCUCCACUCUUAUGACCUAAUUAUCUCCCAAAGGCUCCAUCUCCUAAUAUCAUCAUAUUGAAGGAAUGAAGCAUAAAACAUGAAACCAUUAACAUGAAAGCAGUGUUGGAAGAAGACAGGAACGUGGAAGAAUAAGACAUAAAGAGAGAGAGAGAGAAUGAGGGAACUAAAGGAAUCAAGCCCCAUUUGCCUUGGUUUUAUAGAGCUGAGAUGCUCAAGAGUUAGAAGCCUUUUACAUCGUUUGCACCAUCCUCUCUCCUCAGCCUCCCAAAUCAUUGAGAUUACAGAUGUGAAGUACUGUGCCUGGCUCAAGAAACUUUGUCUUAAAGGGCAUAGAAAGGAGGGAAUGCUAGAGUGAUAACUGAUGGUAGAAAUGACAGCUGGGGUGAAGUUGACUAUAAACUCAUUGAACCGUGCCAUUUCAGUACAGAGACGGGAACCAGUGUAAAGGACUGAUUACACAGAUGGAGAAUAUCAAGGUACAGACAACUACACAUGUC
rnacentral:lncRNA from 1 species